UCUUGGUAUAAAAGGAAACUAACUGCUUUAAAAAAAAAAUACUACACGGAGAAACGAGAAAGAAAGAUCGAGAGAAAAGAGAGACAGAGAAAUAGAGAGGCGAUGAAAUCGAGAGAGAGAGGCUAUGAAGACACGAAGAAAGAAACAGAAAAAGAGAGAGGUGAUCCUGGGACACGGAGAAAGAAGAGAUCGCCUCUCUAUUUCUGACAAAACACCUCUUUGUUUCUCUCACUAAGAUCAGAGUUCAUUCGCCAUUUUGAUUUUACCAGAGAAAGAAGCAGAAGAAGGAAGAUGAUACUGACUUCAGCGUCAAGAACGAAAAAAGUCCCCUCUGCCCACAAACAACGCCUCUGAUGGGUUCUAUUCUUUUUUUGAUUUUUUUUAGAUAGAGAAGGAGGAAAAAAUAAACCUUGCGAUACAGAGAUGAGAAGGAGAUAGACAUUGAGAGAACUACCACUAUUGCAGAAUACCGUUUCCCUGUGCCAGAUAAAGACAUUGGGACUUCUGCAAUAAGAGAAUUAAAAGAUUGACUAUGCUUCCAACGAUCUUCGCUUUCACUGGUACCUUCAACCUCUCUCUCUUAAGGAUUUUCCAUUAUCUAUUUUUGUUUUUUUCAAAUCAAUUUUUUCCUUGGUUUCUCAAUUCCCAUCAAACUAUUCGAAGAAAGGCUUGAACUGAAUUUUUGGUCAAUUGUUUCUUAAUUCUGAUUUUAGUUUAAGGUGAGUGGAAGCAUGAAGGCAAGCAGAUGUAGAAGCUGUCCGAGAAGCCUGAUGUAAGAUAAAGCUUAAGAGAUAAAGCAGCACGGCAUGUUUAGUACUGUGUAGUGCCAUGUUACUGAGAUAUCUGCGACUGCAUGAGAAUUGUGUUUUCUCAUGUAAUCUUGAUGUUAUGAGUCUGAUUUUGCGCUUUAGAUCCUCUUUAUGAUCAUCAAUUACUGAGUACUAUGGGUCGAGCUGUCAAUGGCGGUUAAAAUUGUUUGCCAAUUGUAAUGUUCAUUUUUACUAAGGUUGCAUGCUUUUUCUAAGGACAAGGUUACCAUUGCCGUUAGUGCUCAAAUGUAAGACUCAAGUAAUAUUCCUUUUUCCUUUUCCUACAAACAGAGCGGGAAUUGAUAUGGUUGCUUGGAGUUUAAAGUGUUUGUUUUGAUUUUGGAUUUUUAUUUUUUGAGGAUAGCUGAAUUUGAGUUUGAUUUUUCCUUUUAUUUUA